rnacentral:lncRNA from 1 species
UGAAACUCCUUCCAGCUGUGUAGAUCUUUGAUGUCUGAAAAUACUCCUACAUGCAGACCAAUCAUCAGACCUGUUCCUCUCGAAUGCAUUGUGGGAUUGAGUUUGUUGUGUUUGGUGUGUUUCAGGGUCCUGUCGGAGGAAGCGGCAGCAGUGGAUUCCCAGGCUUGAGAGGCGAUCCGGGGCCCGAGGGACCCCGCGGCUUUCCUGGCAUUGUGGGACCUCAGGUAACGUCCCGUCAGGUCACGCCUCAGAGUUUCUGUAAGCUGAUUGGCUGGACAAUGAAGAUCUUGUUCUCUCAUUGGCAGGGCCUGACUGGAGGGGCGGGGCCUCCUGGAAUGAAAGGUGAUAAGGCUGAACCUGGACUGAGGGGUGACCCGGGAGAGACUGGAUAUCAGGGCGACAAGGGGACCGCUGGGAAUCCAGGUCCGACGGGACCACGCGGAAAACCAGGACCUCUCGUAAGACCCUCUGUGUUCAAUACAGAUACUGUUGAUUGUCAGGAAACCAGCAAAUCUGAGAGACUGAGCUCUGAUCUCUUGAUGUAUGUGUUUAUAUAUGAUGUUCAUGGUUGAUAUUCUCUCUCUGAAGGGGAAACCAGGAGACCCGGGACCACAGGGGCCUCCGGGGCCGCCAGGACCUGAGGUGAGAACCAGAGCUCAUGCACUGAUUUUGAGAGGACUGACAAUAAUUGUGUAGGUUAUGUUUAAACUAGCUGAAAGAUUUGGAGCAACACUUUUAUUAGAUCAGUGAUUAGAUCCAAACCUUCCUCAAUACAACAAAGCAUUAAUCAAUUUAGAGCUGUUUAUAGUCUCCAGUAAAUAGCCUGAAUUGUGUCUGUUUUGGAAGGCAUGUCUGCUUCCUUUUUUAUUUGGGUUAGUUAUUGCGUUUCUCUUUCAUUAAUUCAGAACAUGAUCCUCGCAGCUUUAUCAGAGUAAACGCAGAAGCAUCUGUGCAGCAAAUGGAUGAAACUCAUCCAGCGCAAGAGUUUAGCGUGUCGCGAGCUAGUUUGAUAGCAACUAGGUGGAUAGGAGGGUGCCCUCUAGUGGCACUUCUGUGUUAUUUCAUGCUCAUGUCAUGCUGUAGCUACAUUCCUGCCUGCAAAUUAAUGUAAUUAACAUUUCUAACGAACUGUUGUGGUCAGCAAGAACAUGACAUGACUUAUUUUUUUUUUACUUUUGUU